UGAUUCAAUUUUAAGAAGGUGUC
rnacentral:piRNA from 2 species